rnacentral:rRNA from 1 species
GAGUUUGAUCCUGGCUCAGAUUGAACGCCGGCGGCAUGCCUUACACAUGCAAGUCGAACGGCAGCACGGGAGCUUGCUCCUGGUGGCGAGUGGCGAACGGGUGAGUAAUGCAUCGGAACGUAUCCUGGGGUGGGGGAUAACGUAGCGAAAGUUACGCUAAUACCGCAUAUUCUGUGAGCAGGAAAGCGGGGGACCUUCGGGCCUCGCGCUCUUGGAGCGGCCGAUGUCGGAUUAGCUAGUUGGUGAGGUAAAGGCUCACCAAGGCGACGAUCCGUAGCAGGUCUGAGAGGAUGAUCUGCCACACUGGAACUGAGACACGGUCCAGACUCCUACGGGAGGCAGCAGUGGGGAAUUUUGGACAAUGGGGGCAACCCUGAUCCAGCCAUGCCGCGUGAGUGAAGAAGGCC